rnacentral:rRNA from 1 species
GAACAGGGAUGAGCCCAGCACCGAACCUCGCGCCCGGUUGAGCGGGUGCCGAGGAAUGUGGUGUUCGGGAGGAUCGUGCGCGCCUGUCCGGUAUUUAUCGUCCAAGUCUCCAUGAACGGGGCGAGCAACCCACAGAGGGUGUCAGGCCCGUAGCUUAGACGAGCCGAGACCGUGCAUUGGAUCCCUUCCCAAGAGUCGGGUUGCUUGAGCGUGCAGCCCUAAGCGGGAGGUAAACUCCUUCUAAGGCUAAAUAUCGCCACGAGACCGAUAGCGAACAAGUACCGCGAGGGAAAGUUGAAAAGAACUUUGAAGAGAGAGUUCAAGAGUGCGUGAAACCGUUCAGGGGGUUAAACGGGUGGGCCCUCGAAGGUCGAACGAGCCCCCGCUCCCGGCACUUGGUUGCAUGCCCCCGCUGCGAGAGACUCUCUGAAUUGGGAGCUCGAUCGCCGGCGGGGAACGCAUUAGCCGCGCCAAGGUCCGCUAGUGGGGGGCCUAGUAGGACUCCGCGACCGACUGGGUGUCCUGUCAUACGGGGCGUUCGUUAGCGAGUUUGUUCGGGGCUUCGGCCCUAGCAGGCGAGCGCGGCGUCUCCCGACAGUGCUGCCCGGUCGUGACCUGUCACCUUUUUUUACUCGGAGUCUUC